rnacentral:rRNA from 1 species
GACGAACGCUGGCGGCGUGCUUAACAUAUGCAAGUCGAACGGAAAGGCCCUGCUUUUGUGGGGUGCUCGAGUGGCGAACGGGUGAGUAACACGUGAGUAACCUGCACUUGAAUUUGGGAUAACUUCAGGAAAAAGGGGCUAAUACCGGAUAGGAGCUCCUGCUGCAUGGGGGGGAUUGGAAAGUUUCGGCGGUUGUGGAUGGACUCGCUGCUUAUCGGCUUGUUUGUGGGGUAGGGGCUUACAAAGGCUUUGACGGGUAGCCGGCCUGAGAGCGUGACCGGCCACAUUGGGACUGAGAGAGGGCGCAGUCUGGUACGGGAGGCAGCAGUGGGGAGUAUUGCGCAAUGGGGGGGAGCCUGAUGUAGCAACGCCGCGUGCGGGAUGACGGCCUUCGGGUUGUAAACCGAUUUGGCCUUUGACGAAGAGUGAGUGACGGUAAUGGGUAAAGAAGCACCGGCUAACUACGUG